CUUCCUUCAAACAUACUUACCCAAAGCCACCUCCUCCCCACCACAAGCUGUUACUGCUCACCCUUCUCCCCAUGUCCUCUUCCUAACUACACAAUGAGCCAGCACAGCCCUAGCCACAGCUCCCUGGAAAUGGAACUAGGGUCCUAGCUUCGAGGAGACAUAGCCGAGUUCACACCUCCUUACCAGUUCUCUGUCCUAGAAAACUCAUUGUGCCUCUCAGGGCCUCCCCAGUCUCCCAACCUGCACAAUGGAGAUCAGACUGGAAUCUACUUCCUAGUCACCAGGUGUAUGGGAGAUAAUAUCUAUAACACCUGUGGGCUGCCGUCAUGUGUAUCUAAGGCACAAACUUAGAGAUGGGAGAAUUACAAGAGGAGAUAGGAUGUAGCGUGGAACACCACUCAAAACAGGCCUGGGCUCCAGCAGUGUGAUAUUGGAACAGCCACUUCUAACUUGGCCUCAUUUGAGUGUCAGAACCAUGAGGGGGUUAAUGAACAAAAUUCAGACACUGUCAUCCUCUGGAUUAAAACCUUUCAAUUGUUUCCUGUUUUAUUUAGAGUGAGACCCAAGUGCCUCACCUCAGCCUAUGAGGUGGGCAGCCUCCACAGUGAUACCCAGUGACCCCACCUAUGGUAUACACUUCCCUUCCACAUUCCUGUGCAACCACUGAGUGGUUAGUGACUGGCUUCUGACCAGUAGAAUACAGCCAAUGGGAUGGGAUGCCAGGUCUAAGUUUUAAACACAGUCUCUCACUUCCUUCUUACUCCCUCUCUUGUGUUCCACCUCUCUCUCUCCCCCUGUGUGUCUCUCUGUCUCUGUCUCUCACUGUAGUGUCCCUGAGCUGAGGAACCAAGCACAGACGUUUUGUGCGGCCCUACAUAGGGGCCCACACAGGAGAGAACCUAGGCAGUGGCCAGGCCAACAGAUGGAAAGGAACUCGCGGUCUGAGCCAAGUCAGCAUCCUGAAUCCAAUUGAAAGCUCCUGGAAGACAGAGACCACUUGGCCAUUUUCAGCUCUGGACUUGGACCCUCCGAGGCACCUGGCACAGGUUAAACUUAGAGACAUGAGCCAGCACUCCCACUUCUCUGCCCCGUGCAUGCUGCUGGACAAGCGGUCGGAGCUCUGGAAACACUCGGCGAGUCAAAACCCUUUCCCCAUCACUGCUGCAGCAUGCCGCAGCCUAUGCUCUGGAUGGCCCUGGCUCCUCUGCUAGCCGCCCUCGAUGCAGGUGAGUCAGCAACAAGAUCAGUGAAAUAAUGGCCGUGACUUCUGGGUGCAUGCUGUGUGCUGGGGCCUCUGGCCUCUACCUGCAUUCUUUGUAAGACCUCUUGUCAGCUCUGUGCAUACAUAUGACCAACAUUCUCUUUCCAGAUGAGAACACUCGGGGCUCAGAGAGAGCUAAUCGCUUG
rnacentral:lncRNA from 1 species